GUGUAGCUAAGUGGUUAAAGCUUCAGCUUUUGACGCUGAAAUCAGAGGUUCAAACCCUUUCAU
rnacentral:tRNA from 1 species